rnacentral:lncRNA from 1 species
AAAAUGGAGCCACCUGUAUAGUUCACAGGGGUUUAUGUACACAUGUUAACAAAAUCUAUAAUUAAACUGAGCGGAGAUUAAGAUUACUUAUGACUGUGGGUGUAGUUUGUUGGUAGAAAGCGUGCUUGAGGACCUAGCAUGGGAUUCAAGGAAAACAAAACAAAACAAAACAAAACAAAACAUGAGACAAUAAGAAAAAAGAUGCUCAACUUUUUGACAAACAUUUGCAUUUCCUUAAAUUAUACUUCAAGUGGGUGUGCAUCUUAAAGAAACACUUAAGUAGAACUUGUGUUUUUAAGAAGUGUUUGGUUCUUCUCCACAGUGCAUCUGGUAGAAGGAUGACACAGAGAGAACGUUUCAACCGUGUAUUCUGUUGCCAUUCUUCUGCAAGUCCUAAGGACCAGUAUGCUAGAUCUGACAAACUAAAUUUGUGGUUCUGCACUGUGCACUCCUAAAUUUUUAUAUCCUGAGUGUUUUCUUUGAGGGAUGUUGUCAGUGUCUCUUAAAGCUUUCUCCCUCUCCCUUCUUCUUUUUCACGUAACCACUAGGUUGAAGAUGAUGAUUAUAGACACUCUUCGUUUGUAGUCAUUAAAAGAACUUAGUUUUCACAUUGUUGGACUGUUAUCUAAAAUAUUGAAUACUGUAUUUUCAUAUGACUUGGAUCAAGGUAUUAAUGCAAUAGAGAUUUAAUCUUUACCUCUAUAUAUUUGUUGUCUUAAUUACUAAUUAUAUAAUUAUUUCCAGCAACCGAAUAGAAAUGAAGGCUAAAGUACAUUUUAUAUUUGAUUUAAAAAUUAAUUUUCAAAACUAUACAUUAUGAUCAUACUAUUGUGGAAAGCUACCACUGAACAUUACAGGCAAUACACAUUUUCUGUAACACGUUACUAUUGUAAAAUAUGUGGGUAAAUUCCCCCAUAUAAAAAUUUUUAGUUAACAUUUUUGUGGCUUCUAUUCUUGAUGUUCCCGCCAAUGUUCAAGAGUAUUUACAUAGCAAGCAGAUCAUUAUUCAUGAUCUGACAGUUUGCUCUGUUAACUGUUGUCUUCCAUUUUAAACAACUGUCAACUAGGUUGUAUAGGGAGAUGAUUUAUUUGAAGUUGAAUUGCAUUUCUAUUUUGAGUUGUAGUUGAAAACUUGUGCGUCUCCUUCUCUCUAAUUAAUGCUGUAACUUGGUCCAGAUUUAGGGAGACAAAGACUUUGUAGUUGAUGAGUAUACCUUGCAUGGAAAUUCACUUACUUGUUGUUGAUUUUAUAGUUCUACCCUAAUCUGUACAAGAGCUUUUUUUUUAAAGUUUUGCUUGUGGAUCUGGAAAGAGAGAUGGGUUUGUUAUGUAGGGUGGAGUUAAUGUCUUUAUGUCCUUAGCAGGGCCAGCAUUGAGAAAGUAAAACAUGAAAGGUAGUUUGUUUAAUUAUGGGAACAAGUGAACGAAUUUUCUCCAGUGUUACCGCGUUGGAAGUGAAUGACGGGGGAAGGCCAUGCACUGACUAGCCAGGCUCUGUUUUCUGUGUUCUGCAGUCAUCUCAACUCGAACUCCACCUCCGCCCUCACCGUUGCCAUUUCCGACGCAAGCUAUCCUUCCUCCGGCACCUUCCAGCUACUUCUCUCAUCCAACAAUCAGAUAUCCUCCUCACCUGAAUCCUCAGGAUACUCUGAAGAACUACGUACCUUCUUAUGACCCAUCCAGUCCUCAAACGAGCCAGGUAAAAAUAAGAGAAAACAAGAUAGAUAGAACCUGAGGGGCGUGGGGCAGGUCUACUUCCUUCCAAGUGAGAGCUUAGCCAGGCGGUGUGCCUCAUGGGCCAUCAAGCCUCACAAUCUGUCUUCAGAAAGCUUCUUGUCAACUCGAUAAGGGUUUUUUGUUUGUUUGUUUGUUUUGUUUUGUUUUGUUUUGUUUUAUUGAAAGGGUGGCUGAAUGACAGGUAGGAAGGGCAUUGCCCCAAAGGGAUACAUUCAUGAAGAAGUUUGGGGUUUAAUGUUUUUGGGUUUUCAUUGGAAGAAAGUUUAUGCAGAAUGUUCAUUGCCAAAAAACCUCUGAGCUCGAGUUUGCACCUUGGAAAUACCUGGUUUGACAUAGAGACAAAGUGCUUAUUUCAGGCAGGAGCAAGGUAUGUGCUAAAAUAAACACCCACAAAAGAGCUUACAGCUGUAUUUACAGGCCAGUUAUUCGGCAUUAACAUCAGCUUUGGUAAUGUAAACAUUUUUCAGCAGCCUUUGAUGACUCCUUGACUCUUUACAGAGACGUGACUUAUAUUUAAUAAAAUGACAUUUCUAGCUCUGUCUGUCUGUCUGUCUCUGUCUCGCUCUCUCUGUCUCAACAUCAUAUAGUGGUUUUAGGAAAUCAUUGUGUAAGUAUAGUAACUUAUUGUGCAUUUCUCAGUUUAGAUGCAUGGUUUCUUCUGUGAUAGGAUGUUGCGUAGGCUUCUGCGCAGGGUGAUUUUUCAGCCAGCUAGAAGAUCUUUGUGCCAGUAAUGAGUCUAUUCAUAGUUACAGUAUCCAGGUCUCUGUUGUAAUUUUGAUCUUAUGUCUAGUAUUUUUUUCUGUUUCAUCUAUAAAAAGAAAGAAAGAAAGAAAG